UACGUAGGCAGCAAGCGUUGUUCGGAGUUACUGGGCGUAAAGAGCGCGCAGGCGGUCGUUCAAGUCGCGUGUGAAAGCCCCCGGCUCAACUGGGGAGGGUCACGCGAUACUGAUCGACUCGAAGGCAGGAGAGGGUAGUGGAAUUCCCGGCGUAGUGGUGAAAUGCGUAGAUAUCGGGAGGAACACCAGUGGCGAAGGCGACUACCUGGCCUGUUCUUGACGCUGAGGCGCGAAAGCUAGGGGAGCAAACGGG
rnacentral:rRNA from 1 species